AUGGAACCAGACACAUCGGCAAUGUCCAGUCCCUGUCUUGAUCUUCAUCCUUCGCCAGUGGAAGUUAAUGAAAUAAAUACAGAGUUUUGUGAUGAAAAUAUAACUUAUUCAGAAGUCAAAUUUCAUAGCUCUUCAAAUAUCAAGAAGAGGAAAACAACUAGGAAUUUGAAGACAAAUGAGUCUCCAUGGUGCCCUGUGGCAGUGAUAUUUGCCUUCUUUUAUUUUAUUUUUCUGGUAAUAGCUGCAAUUAUGACAGCUAAGGUUCGUUGUCUAGAAGGGGUUCUGAUGACAAAGGAAACCAUUAAGCUUAAUGGCACUACAUAUUGCAAAGUGAUCUAGCAAAGCAGAG
rnacentral:lncRNA from 12 species